GCCGCGGUAGCUCAGUAGGGAGAGCGUCAGACUGAAGAUCUGAAGGUCGCCGGUUCGAUUCCGGCCCGCGGCA
rnacentral:tRNA from 2 species